rnacentral:rRNA from 1 species
GACGAACGCUGGCGGCGUGCUUAACACAUGCAAGUUGAACGGAAAGGCCCUGCUUUUGUGGGGUGCUCGAGUGGCGAACGGGUGAGUAACACGUGAGUAACCUGCCCUUGACUUUGGGAUAACUUCAGGAAACUGGGGCUAAUACCGGAUAGGAGCUCCUGCUGCAUGGUGGGGGUUGGAAAGUUUCGGCGGUUGGGGAUGGACUAGCGGCUUAUCAGCUUGUUGGUGGGGUAGUGGCUUACCAAGGCUUUGACGGGUAGCCGGCCUGAGAGGGUGACCGGCCACAUUGGGACUGAGAUACGGCCCAGACUCCUACGGGAGGCAGCAGUGGGGAAUAUUGCACAAUGGGCGGAAGCCUGAUGCAGCAACGCCGCGUGCGGGAUGACGGCCUUCGGGUUGUAAACCGCUUUCGCCUGUGACGAAGCGUGAGUGACGGUAAUGGGUAAAGAAGCACCGGCUAACUACGUG